rnacentral:rRNA from 1 species
UACGAAGGGGGGCUAGCGUUGCUCGGAAUUACUGGGCGUAAAGCGCACGUAGGCGGUCUUUUUAGGUCGGGGGUGAAAUCCUGGAGCUCAACUCCAGAACUGCCUUCGAUACUGGCGAUCUCGAGUCCGGAAGAGGUGAGUGGAACUCCUAGUGUAGAGGUGGAAUUCGUAGAUAUUAGGAAGAACACCAGUGGCGAAGGCGGCUCACUGGUCCGGUACUGACGCUGAGGUGCGAAAGCGUGGGGAGCAAACAGG